CGGUUUCUUUAAAGUAACUUGUACUAGAAAUAUUAUUGCAUACCUUUGCAGGAGGUGGGAUAUGAACUUAGAUUUUUUUAAGCUCAGAGAUAGGGUAACUACGACUGCACGACAAGCUGCCUAAUGAGCGUGGUGGAAGCAGAAUAUUCUAGGAUUACUUUCUCCAUUGCCUAACUUUGAUGUCCCUCGAAAAUCACCACUUGAACACCGUUGCAGAGCAUGGUGCAUAAAUGGAAUGAACUGCCAGAGGAAGUGGUAAACGCAGGAGUUCACGAGAGUCUCAUGAGAAUUGUAACAGCUCAUCCAUCAAGUCUUCCCAGUGACUCUAUGCUCAGCUUUUUGUGGUUAAUUACAUAACGGAACAACCAGAAAAUGCCAUUCUUUCAACGGAAAGGAAAAAUAAAAGCUGCCAACUGGAAACAUUGCAAAUUCAAUCUGCCAAGUGGAACAAGAAAGAGACAAAGAUGAAGAGAAUGAAAUGUAAAGCCAAUAAAGGUGAUGUGCAGAAAUAUGUAGGACUAAGAUUCCAAAACGGGAAAUCUUGCUAUUCUGAAGAAGAGUCAAGGCCCGAAACGUCGGCUUUCCUGCUCCUGUGAUGCUGCUUGGCCUGCUGUGUUUAUCCACCUUCACACCUUGUUAUCUCAGAUUCUCCAGCUCCUACUAUCUCAGGCCAACCUUAUUGUUUUUUUUAACGAGUUAACAGGGGAAGCAAACAAAAGUGUAGAGCUGGAAGAACACAGGCCAAGCAGCAUCAGAGGAGCAGCAAACCUGACAUUUCGGGUCUGGACCUGCCCGAAGGGUUCCACACCUGAAACGUCAGCAUUCCUGCUCAUCUGAUGCUGCCUGGCCUGCUGUGUUCCUCCAGCUCCACAACUUGUUAUCUCAGACUCCAGCAUCGACAGUUCCUACUAUCUCUAAGCAAACAAAAGUAAUGGACUAGAUAUAAUUUAUUUAGAUUUUCAAAAGCUCUUUGAUAAGGUGCUCAGAAUAAUGAAAUGGUCAAAGCAUGUUCAGUCAGGAGACAGGUGGCAGAUUGGAUUGUUAAUUAGCUUCAAGAUAAAAGCAGAGUGAGAUUGAAGUGUAGUUAUUCAGUGGAGGGGAAGGUGGGAAGUUCUGCUUCACAAGAAUCAGCGUUGGGACUGCAGCUGUUCAAGCAAGACAAUUCCAACCUGAACUUUGGAAUGAAAGAUAACAAGGUGUAGAGCUGGAUGAACACAGCAGCCAAGAAGCAUCA